rnacentral:rRNA from 1 species
AUAUCGGCCGGAGACCGAUAGCGCACAAGUAGAGUGAUCGAAAGAUGAAAAGCACCUUGAAAAGGGGGUCAAACAGCACGUGAAAUUGCUGAAAGGGAAGCGCUGGCCCCCAGACCGGCCCCCGGGCAGCCCUCCGCCGCGCGCGGGGGAUCCCUGCCCGGGCUCCGGCCAGCACGGGUCCGGGCGGCGGGACAAAGCGUCCGGGAAUGUAGCUCCCUCCGGGGAGCCUUAUAGCCCGGACGGCCAUGCCGCCCGCCUGGACCGAGGACCGCGCUUCGGCGAGGGUGCUGGCGUAAUGGGGGUCAGCGGCCCGUCUUGAAACACGGACCAAGGAGUCUAACGUCCCCGCGAGUGUUUGGGCGUCAAACCCCGGCGCGGAAUGAAAGUGAACGGAGGUGNGAGCCCUCCGGUGGGCGCACCAUCGACCGAUCCAGAUGUCUUCGGAUGGAUUUGAGUACGAGCGCGGCCGUUGGGACCCGAAAGAUGGUGAACUAUGCCUGGNUAGGGUGAAGCCAGAGGAAACUCUGGUGGAGGCUCGCAGCGGUUCUGACGUGCAAAUCGAUCGUCAAACCUGGGCAUAGGGGCGAAAGACUAAUCGAACCAUCUAGUAGCUGGUUCCUGUCGAAGUUUCCCUCAGGAUAGCAGUCGCGCGGNCGGUUUUAUGAGGUAAAGCGAAUGAUUAGAGGCCUGGGGNUGCAACACCCUUAACCUAUUCUCAAACUUUAAAUAUGUAAGAA